rfam:Cricetulus griseus cell line CHO-K1, whole genome shotgun sequence.
UCCUUGUUAGUAUAGUGGUGAGUAUCCCCACCUGUCACUCGGGAGACCGGGGUUCCAUUCCCCGACGGGGAG